rnacentral:rRNA from 1 species
GACGAACGCUGGCGGCGUGCUUAACACAUGCAAGUCGAACGGAAAGGCCCCUUUUGGGGUACGCGAGUGCCGAAGGGGGGAGUAUCACGUGUGUAACCUGCCCUUGACUUGGGGGUUAAUUUAGGAAACCGGGCCCAAUACCGGCAAGGGAUCCUUGCUGCAUGGUGGGGGUUGUUAAGCUUUGGCGGUUUUGGAUGGACUGGCGGCUGAUCAGCUUGUUGGUGGGGUAGUGGCUUACCAAGGCUUUGAUGGGUAGCUGGCCUGAGAGGGCGACCGGCCACAUUGGGACUGAGAGACGGCCCAGACUCCGACGGGAGGCAGCAGUGGGGAAUAUUGCACAAUGGGCGGAAGCCUGAUGCAGCAACGCCGCGUGCGGGAUGACGGCCUUCGGGUUGUAAACCGCUUUCAGCAGGGGCGAAGCUUGUGGUGACGGUACCUGCAGAAGUAGCACCGGCUAACUACGUG